GACGAACGCUGGCGGCGUGCUUAACACAUGCAAGUCGAACGGUCCUGUUUUUGAAGCGCUUCGGCGUGGAGGGAGCGGGUUAGUGGCGCACGGGUGAGUAAUGCGCGAGGACCUGCCCGCGGGAGGGGGACAGCAGUUGGAAACGGCUGGUGAUACCCCGUAAGCCGGGAGGUAAAAGGGCGGAGACGCCCGCCUGCGGAUGGACUCGCGUCCUAUCAGCUAGUUGGUGAGGCAACGGCUCACCAAGGCGACGACGGGUAGCCGGCCUGAGAGGGUGUCCGGCCACACUGGAACUGAGACACGGUCCAGACUCCUACGGGAGGCAGCAGUGGGGAAUUUUGGGCAAUGGGGGAGACCCUGACCCAGCGACGCCGCGUGAGGGACGAAGGCCCUUGGGUCGUAAACCUCUUUUGCAGGGGAAGAAGAAGAUGACGGUACCUUGCGAACAAGUCCCGGCUAACUACGUG
rnacentral:rRNA from 1 species